AGAGUUUGAUCGUGGCUCAGGAUGAACGCUGGCGGCGUGCUUAACACAUGCAAGUCGAACGAUGAACCAGGUGCUUGCACUUGGGGAUUAGUGGCGAACGGGUGAGUAACACGUGAGUAACCUGCCCCUGACUCUGGGAUAAGCCCGGGAAACUGGGUCUAAUACCGGAUAUGACUGUCCACCGCAUGGUGGGUGGUUGAAAGAUUUAUCGGUGAGGGAUGGACUCGCGGCCUAUCAGCUUGUUGGUGAGGUAAUGGCUCACCAAGGCGACGACGGGUAGCCGGCCUGAGAGGGUGACCGGCCACACUGGGACUGAGACACGGCCCAGACUCCUACGGGAGGCAGCAGUGGGGAAUAUUGCACAAUGGGCGAAAGCCUGAUGCAGCGACGCCGCGUGAGGGAUGACGGCCUUCGGGUUGUAAACCUCUUUCAGUAGGGAAGAAGCGAAAGUGACGGUACCUGCAGAAGAAGCGCCGGCUAACUACGUGCCAGCAGCCGCGGUAAUACGUAGGGCGCAAGCGUUAUCCGGAUUUAUUGGGCGUAAAGAGCUCGUAGGCGGUUUGUCGCGUCUGCCGUGAAAGUCCAAGGCUCAACCUUGGAUCUGCGGUGGGUACGGGCAGACUAGAGUGAUGUAGGGGAGACUGGAAUUCCUGGUGUAGCGGUGAAAUGCGCAGAUAUCAGGAGGAACACCGAUGGCGAAGGCAGGUCUCUGGGCAUUUACUGACGCUGAGGAGCGAAAGCAUGGGGAGCGAACAGGAUUAGAUACCCUGGUAGUCCAUGCCGUAAACGUUGGGCACUAGGUGUGGGGGACAUUCCACGUUUUCCGCGCCGUAGCUAACGCAUUAAGUGCCCCGCCUGGGGAGUACGGCCGCAAGGCUAAAACUCAAAGGAAUUGACGGGGGCCCGCACAAGCGGCGGAGCAUGCGGAUUAAUUCGAUGCAACGCGAAGAACCUUACCAAGGCUUGACAUGUGCCAGACCGCCUCAGAGAUGGGGUUUCCCUUCGGGGCUGGUUCACAGGUGGUGCAUGGUUGUCGUCAGCUCGUGUCGUGAGAUGUUGGGUUAAGUCCCGCAACGAGCGCAACCCUCGUUCCAUGUUGCCAGCACGUAAUGGUGGGGACUCAUGGGAGACUGCCGGGGUCAACUCGGAGGAAGGUGGGGAUGACGUCAAAUCAUCAUGCCCCUUAUGUCUUGGGCUUCACGCAUGCUACAAUGGCCGGUACAAUGGGUUGCGAUACUGUGAGGUGGAGCUAAUCCCUAAAAGCCGGUCUCAGUUCGGAUUGGGGUCUGCAACUCGACCCCAUGAAGUCGGAGUCGCUAGUAAUCGCAGAUCAGCAACGCUGCGGUGAAUACGUUCCCGGGCCUUGUACACACCGCCCGUCAAGUCACGAAAGUUGGUAACACCCGAAGCCGAUGGCCUAACCACCUUGUGUGGGGGGAGUCGUCGAAGGUGGGACUGGCGAUUGGGACUAAGUCGUAACAAGGUAACCGUA
rnacentral:rRNA from 2 species